ensembl:lncRNA
GAAAAACUUCAGCCUCACUGAUCUUCCAUCUUUCAUUUCCUUUUUAUCUUCCCACCUGCCAGUCAACUGUAUAUGGAUAACCAAAGCGCAUUCAAUUGACACUUGUGUUAAACGUGGUCAGGAUCAGCCUCUGACCACCACCAGUGUUUUGGAUUCAUUCUUUGCCCCAGAGUAAAAGUGGAGCUGUGGAAAUGUGUAAUCGUGGGCAAAGUAGGGAAGAGCAAAUUAUAACGUGUUGUGCUUCGGACCCCUUCCCCGAGCGGACGAAGAGAAGCCCGUCAAAACUUGGCAAAGGACAGGUCUUCCUGAAAAUUUCGAGGUCAGCUCCCAUGUGGUAA